CAACCAAGCGCAGAGAUCGUAACUUGGGGAGUUUGAAUUCGCUGUUGCUGCUUUCUUCACCCAUAACCCCUUCUUCAUCUGAUCUUGUUCCACCUAUUAUCUCCUCCAUCUUCUCACAUCCUUCAACUGAAAUCAUUUCUAGGUUUACGAGGUUGGGCAGCAAGACAAGAGGGAACAACUUCUUCAUACUUGUACAUCUAAAACAAAAGAACUUCUUAAGACUAGAAAAUAUACCACUACAAGAUGGCAAUAGUACUGGAGCAGAGCAAAACCAAGAAGAUGAAACCAAGCUCUCCAUGCUAUUGCAACUAUUAAUUUUGAUAACCUCCAGUUCAGUUGCAUUCUUUAUUAGAGACCAAAAAUCACAUAAACUUGUUGCAUCAUCAUAAUUAUUAAUGUGUAGUUGUUGAAUGUCCUUCGAGAACAUAACAUGAAAAUCUCCAUCUUUGUCGAUACUCAAGUUACCCCAAACAAUUUCUUUCGUUCUGCAAUCAUCAUAAUCAUAAUCAUAAUCAUAAUCAUAAUCAUAAUCAUAAUAAUGCUUAUCCAUUGGUCCUACAAGAAUUUUGUAUGUGCUUAGUGAUUUGGUUUCAUCCCGAGAUUUGAGAUACUCCACGUAGUCUGAGUAACCUUCAAAAUGACAUACCAAAGUUUCCAACUUCCUCAAGCAUCCCACUUCCUUUCCAUUAACUGUUAUCGGAGCAUAUUGUACUAUUAUAUUAUCUUUGGUACUAGGAAUCCAAUCCUCUAAUACAAAGACUUGCAGGUGAGAGAGCUUAGGUAACAACCCACUAGGAAACUCCUUUUCACCACAUCCAUUCAUUCUAAGAUACCUCAGGUUGCAUAGACAUUCCAUACCUUGAGGAAUCUUUUCAGGUGUAGUACCAUGGAGAUCUAACCUCUUUAGUGCCCUCAGCUUUUUCAAUGACGGUACAUGCCUUAACUCCCUACAUUGUUUGAUCAACAAUACAGUGAGACUCACCAAUUCAGAAACAGAAUCAGGCAAUGUUGUGAUACUUGUAUAAGACAGAUCAAGAACCUUUGAUCGUGUUGUCGUAAUCAACUUGCAAUCUUUAACCCAUUCCUCUCCAUUGUCAUUGCAGCUCCAUUGAAUUUGUAUUCCCAUGCUGUACCCUCGGGGCCUCCACGUAACAUUGGACGAACGUGCUUGCCUUUUCAACUGGAUUUGGUUUCGAUGGCCCAUUCCAUCUUCUUUGAUUUGGGAGAGUUUAGGUAUGAAUUUCCAGCUUGAUUUGAUUUCAAUUGUUUUUUAAUAUAUAUAUAUAUAUAUAUAUAUAUUGCUGCAUAGUACAACCUUGCCAUGCUUUGUCAAUUCAAUUUUGGGUGUCCUGCCAUGUUAGCUGUAACAGUGAUGCCUACUGCCCUUGAUAUCAUCUUUCCCAUCAUGGUCAGCUGAGCUUCUUUUUUUUUUUUUCUUUUUUCUUUUUUUUUUUCCUGGGAUGUGCUUGUUUAAGUCUGAUUGGGAGACCUAUAAUGGAGUUCUUAUGCUAACUUAUCUGUUUUCUUUACAUGGUUUUGCAUUCCUGCUUCUCUCUUCUGCUCAAUGCUGUAGCUCAAUUGAAAUUCAAUUUAUUGUCUUCGUCAGAUUAUGAGGAUGAAUAGUUUGAAUAUUUGAGGAAACAUUACAGGCAAUUUUUCUGCCCGAUAAGCCAGUCCAGUUUCAAUCAGAACUUUACACCCUUCCCUGUAAAUUAUAGAAAAAAGACAUUCAAUUUUUUAAAGCUAAACAAAUACCUUUUUUCCAAAAUGCUUCUGAUGGAAGGAAGAAAUUAACUGAGCAAAUGCCUUUUUUGAAAGAUUGACCUGUGUAACUUUCUGAUAAAGACAUGGUCUCUCUCUUGCGUUUGAAGUUAGGAUUUGUGCUUUUUGUUUGUUAUUACACAGGACAUGCAAUUGUUCUGCAUGUACUCCUACCCAAGCAUUAAUUGGUUUCCUUCAACACAACAUCUAUACAACUUUACAGGAACCAUUAAACAUGCAGUUACCUUGUAAACAAAACUGAAACCACCCUCGCCGACUUCGUCUUCCGCAUCGAAGUUCUUGGUACCAGCUUUCAUCUUAGUGUGAAAAGUCCUGUUUGCAGAUCUAGGCCUCUAAGCUCUGUCAGGCCACAAUUUUGGAUGUCAAAGAGAAUACUCGUAAGUUCAUAGAAAAAGUUAUGUUCUGUUUUCAGCAUCUUCAAGAGAAUAUUAAACAGAGCAAUUGUAGUCGACAUGAAUUAUUGAAGAGUUAACAAUUCACAGACAAUAUUUCUAAAUCUUCAAAGAAAAGUAUAAUGAGAAUUGAGUCAUUAAUCUGGUAGUCCAAGUAGAGAUGCCAAAGAGCUUGUUAUUUUUUCUUCCCCCUUUUUAUAAGGACUCCAAAAGAAAUACCAAUACCUUUAUAUGCAUAGACUCUGCCACCAAGCCAGCCAUUUCUCUGCAUGGCACCUAGUACUCGAAGGGCAACGAAAACUGCUCUGGCUACUGUUCCAGUCACUAUGGCUACAACAUUCCUGUCGCCACUCUCACACGUAAUUAGGUGCAAAUCCGAAGCUCAAGCAUGAUUUGAUCUUGAUUUUUAUAAUUAAGAUUCUCCAAUAUUUAAAGAUCAUCAACAAGAAAUUAAAAGCCAUAGACUUUGAAGCCAAUCAAAUUCUCAUUAAAAACCCAACUCUAAAAAGACAGAGUCAUCCAAUUCCAUGUGAAGAUAGUAACAAGUUAAAAAAAAUUCCUACAAAUAAAUAAACAGAGGAAUCAAAAUAAAUAAGAGAAUGAAGUUUUUAAGGUUAGGAUAAUAACAAGAAUAUUAUAAGAUAAAACUAAUAACAAAAUCUGACAGCAUUGGGUAGCGUUUGAUGUUUUCAAGAGAGAGGGAAGAGAUUGAUAUUGAGAGAGAGAAAAGGAGGAAUUAAAGCAAAAGCUUACAUGUAAUUCAUUUUUUAUAUUAAGGGGUAAUGUCGUCCCCUAAGUCCUAUCUCUGCAAAGGGCAAUGUUAUAGAUGUCCAACAUUUCAAACUUUACAAAGGGAAGAAGCACAUCAGUCUUUAAGUGGACGUGCUUACCCCUAAUUCAAUAUUAAAUUAAGGGGCAAUGUCGUCUCCUACCCAUCAAUCUCUACAAAGGGCAAAGUCAUCUCCCACCUCGAGACAUUACAAAUGGACGAAGGACAUCCUUAGCAUUAGGAUGCUCCCACUCCACUACUGACUCCCACCAUUCUUCUGGCAUUGCAUAGAUUCUUCUAAGAGAAGGGGGAGGAGAUGGCUGGCCAUUUUCAAGCAACGGAAGACAAAUUGACAACCUCUUCAGCUUCUCACAAUUUCCUACAUGAAUAUAUUGCAGAAAAUCGCAAAUCAGUUUUGCACUACAAAUGCUUUUGAGUUCUGGUAAUCCAACCAAGAGCAGAGAUCGUAACUUGGGGAGUUUGAAUUCGCUGUUGCUGCUUUCUUCACCCAUAACCCCUUCUUCAUCUGAUCUUGUUCCACCUAUUAUCUCCUCCAUCUUCUCACAUCCUACAACUUCAAUCCAUUCUAGGUUUACGAGGUUGGGCAGCAAGACAAGAGGGAACAACUUCUUCAUACUUGUACAUCUAAAACAAACGAACCUCUUAAGACUAGAAAAUAUACCACUACAAGA
rnacentral:lncRNA from 1 species